rnacentral:rRNA from 1 species
CCUACGGGAGGCAGCAGUGGGGAAUUUUGGACAAUGGGCGAAAGCCUGAUCCAGCCAUUCCGCGUGAGUGAAGAAGGCCUUCGGGUUGUAAAGCUCUUUCGCAAGGGAAGAAAACUUAGAUACUAAUAUUAUCUGAGGUUGACGGUACCUUGAUAAGAAGCACCGGCUAACUACGUGCCAGCAGCCGCGGUAAUACGUAGGGUGCGAGCGUUAAUCGGAAUUACUGGGCGUAAAGCGUGCGCAGGCGGUUUUGUAAGUCAGAUGUGAAAUCCCCGAGCUCAACUUGGGAACUGCGUUUGAAACUACAAGACUAGAAUAUGUCAGAGGGGGGUAGAAUUCCACGUGUAGCAGUGAAAUGCGUAGAGAUGUGGAGGAAUACCAAUGGCGAAGGCAGCCCCCUGGGAUAAUAUUGACGCUCAUGCACGAAAGCGUGGGGAGCAAACAGGAUUAGAUACCCUGGUAGUCCACGCCCUAAACGAUGUCUACUAGUUGUUGGUGGAGUAAAAUCCAUGAGUAACGCAGCUAACGCGUGAAGUAGACCGCCUGGGGAGUACGGUCGCAAGAUUAAAACUCAAAUGAAUUGACGG